rnacentral:rRNA from 1 species
AGCAGCCGCGGUAAUUCCAGCUCCAAUAGCGUAUAUUAAAGUUGUUGCAGUUAAAAAGCUCGUAGUUGAAUUUCGGGAUCAAAUUGUCGGUCGUGCCUCGGUACGUACUGGUAUUAUUGGUUCCUCCCUUCUGACGAACCACGAUGUCAUUAAUUUGGUGUCAUGGGAAAUCAGGACUGUUACUUUGAAAAAAUUAGAGUGUUUAAAGCAGGCUCGCGCUUGAAUACAUUAGCAUGGAAUAAUGAAAUAGGACGUUUGAUUCUAUUUUGUUGGUUUCUAGGAUCGACGUAAUGAUUAAUAGGGAUAGUUGGGGGCAUUAGUAUUCAAUUGUCAGAGGUGAAAUUCUUGGAUUUAUUGAAGACUAACUACUGCGAAAGCAUUUGCCAAGGAUGUUUUCAUUAACCAAGAACGAAAGUUGGGGAUCGAAGACGAUCAGAUACCGUCGUAGUCUUAACCAUAAACUAUGCCGACUAGGGAUCGGAUGAUGUUAAUUUUUUAAUGACUCAUUCGGCGCCUUACG